GCUUGGAUGGUGGAAUGGUAGACACUGGGGACUUAAAAUCCCCUGGGAGCAAUCCCGUGCGAGUUCGACUCUCGCUCCGAGCA
rnacentral:tRNA from 1 species